ACCCGCUGAACUUAAGCAUAUCAAUAAGC
rnacentral:rRNA from 2 species